rnacentral:rRNA from 1 species
GGCGAACGCUGGCGGCGUGCUUAACACAUGCAAGUCGAACGGUAAGGCCCUUCGGGGUACACGAGUGGCGAACGGGUGAGUAACACGUGGGUGAUCUGCCCUGCACUUCGGGAUAAGCCUGGGAAACUGGGUCUAAUACCGGAUAGGACUCCGGACUGCAUGGUCUGGGGUGGAAAGCUUUUGCGGUGUGGGAUGGGCCCGCGGCCUAUCAGCUUGUUGGUGGGGUGAUGGCCUACCAAGGCGACGACGGGUAGCCGGCCUGAGAGGGUGACCGGCCACACGGGGACUGGGAUACGGCCCAGACUCCUACGGGAGGCAGCAGUGGGGAAUAUUGCACAAUGGGCGCAAGCCUGAUGCAGCGACUCCGCGUGAGGGAUGACGGCCUUCGGGUUGUAAACCUCUUUCAGCAUCGACGAAGCGAAAGUGACGGUAGGUGCAGAAGAAGGACCGGCCAACUACGUGCCAGCCGCCGCCGUAA